rnacentral:rRNA from 1 species
UGAGUAACACGUAUCCAACCUGCCGUCUACUCUUGGACAGCCUUCUGAAAGGAAGAUUAAUACAAGAUGGCAUCAUGAGUUCACAUGUUCACAUGAUUAAAGGUAUUCCGGUAGACGAUGGGGAUGCGUUCUAUUAGAUAGUAGGCGGGGUAACGGCCCACCUAGUCUUCGAUGGAUAGGGGUUCUGAGAGGAAGGUCCCCCACAUUGGAACUGAGACACGGUCCAA